GUCAAAAAAAAGAAGGCUCACGGUGAAGACCUAGGCUCUCAGAGACGAUGAAGGGCGCGAUACCGGCGAUACAGCUUUGGGGAGUUGGAAGAAAGCAUGGAUCCAAAGAUUCCCGAAUAGGGCAACCUCUAAGAACUUCUUACGAAUUCAUAACUAAGAAAGAGGCAACCUGGUGAACUGAAACAUCUCAGUAGCCAGAGGAGAAGAAAGCAAAAGCGAUUCCCUUAGUAGCGGCGAGCGAAAUGGGAUUAGUCUAAACUGAGAAUAUCAGGGUUGUGGGAAUACGGUUUUUUCUAUAAAUCUGUGUUUUUAAAAUUCUUUGUGUUUCCACAAAGAAUUUUAAAGGACUGUAUUUAUUAUAGAACACAAAAGAAGACCUACAUUUUUGAAAUGCUAGCAAACUUAGUGAUUUGUGACUAUGUAUUCACAAAUUACAAAAUAAAAUAGACGAAGCAGCUGAAUCCUGCACCAUAGAUGGUGAAAGUCCAGUAGUCUAAUUAUUAUUGGCUUAAUUAAUGAAACCGUUUAUCCCGAGUAGCAUGGGGCACGUGGAAUCCCGUGUGAAUCAGCGAGGACCACCUCGUAAGACUAAAUACUCCUGAGAGACCGAUAGCGAAAUAGUACAGCGAUGGAAAGGUGAAAAGAACCCCCGUAGGGGAGUGAAAUAGAACAUGAAAUCGUGAGCUGACAAGCAGUGGGAGGAUUUUGAAAUCUGACCGCGUGCCUGUUGAAGAAUGAGCCGGCGACUUAUAAGGAGUGGCAGGUUAAAGAGUUUUUAUCUGGAGCCUAAGCGAAAGCAAGUCUGAAUAGGGCAUCAAGUCACUUCUUAUGGACCCGAACCUGGAUGAUCUAACCAUGAGCAUGAUGAAGUUUAGGUAACACUGAAUGAAGGUCAGAACUGACCGAUGUUGAAAAAUCGGCAGAUGACUUGUGGUUAGCGGAGAAAUUCCAAUCGAAUUCAGAGCUAGCUGGUUCUCCCCGAAAUGCGUUGAGGCGCAGCGGUAAUGAUGAACUAUCUAAGGGUAGAGCAACUGUUUCGGUGCGGGCUGCGAAAGCGGUACCAAGUCGUGGCAAACUCCGAAUAUUAGAUAAGUCUUCCAGCUACCAGUGAGAGAGUCGGAGAUAAGUUUGAUUCUCAAGAGGGAAACAGCCCAGAUCACCAGCUAAGGCCCCUAAAUGAUUGCUAAGUGGAAAAGGAUGUGAGAAUGCUGAAACAACCAGGAAAUUUGCUUAGAAGCAGCCAUUUUUGAAAGAGUGCGUAAUAGCUCACUGGUAAAGCGUUCUUGCGCCGACAAUGGCCGGGACUAAGCAAUCUGCCGAAGCUGUGAGAGAAUUGUUUUCCUUUUUUCCAAGUGUUUUCGAAAGUGUUUAUCUAAAGAUAAACACUUUUGAAGUAAACACAAACACAGGGAACUGCAAAAGGAAAAAACAAUACUCGGUAGGGGAGCGUUCUGCUUAGGGUGAAGCUUUCACGUAAGUUUGAGUGGACUAUGCAGAAGUGAGAAUGUUGGCUUGAGUAACGAAAACAUUGGUGAGAAUCCAAUGCUCCGAAAACCUAAGGGUUCCUCCACUAGGUUCGUCCGUGGGGGGUUAGUCAGGACCUAAGAUGAGGCUAGUCAUUAGCGUAGUCGAUGGUAAACAGGUUAAUAUUCCUGUACUUCUUGAAAUAAGGUACCGAGGGACGAAGAAGGCUAAGUAAAGUCUGUAUAUGGAUUGCAGUGGAAACAUUCAAGACGCACCAAAUAGAAAAAAAACUAUUUGGAGUUAAGAUGUGACCCGCUGUGUUUUCACUUGUGAAAACAUGGUUUUAUUAUGUCAUACUUCCUAGAAAAGCUCGUAAACCUAUAUUAAUUAUUUCGGAACCUGUACCUAAAACCGACACAGGUAGGUUGGUAGAGAAUACUGAGGAGCGCAAGAGAACUCUCUCUAAGGAACUCGGCAAAUUGGCCCCGUAACUUCGGGAGAAGGGGUGCUUUUAUUUUGAAUAAAAGCCGCAGUGAAGAGGAUACGGCAACUGUUUACCAAAAACACAGGUCUCCGCAAAGUCGCAAGACAAUAUAUGGGGGCUGACGCCUGCCCAGUGCCGGAAGGUGAAGGAAGUUGGUUAUUUUGGGUAACUGAAAAAAGCUGACAACCGAAGCCCCGGUGAACGGCAGCUGUAACUAUGACAGUUCUAAGGUAGCGAAAUUCAUUGUCGAGUAAGUUUCGACCUGCACGAAAGGCGUAAUGAUCGUAUCACUGUCUCAGAGAGAGGCUUGGUGAAAUAGACUUGUCCGUGAAGAUGCGGACUAAUAACACUUGGACAGAAAGACCCUAUGAAGCUUGACUGUAUCCUGGAAUUGGGUUCGGGCUUUUCUUGCGCAGUCUAGGUGGGAGGCAUUGAAGAUUUCCUUCCGGGGAAGUUGGAGCCAUCAGUGAGAGACCACUCUGGAGAGGCUAGAAUCCUAAUGGUGAUCCUUAAAUCAGGACACUUGACGUUUUCAGGUGGGCAGUUUGUUUGGGGCGAACACCUCAUAAAAGGUAACUGAGGCGCGCAAAGGUUCCCUCAGUCUGGACGGAAAUCAGACUUAAGAGUGUAAAGGCAAAAGGGAGCUUGACUGUAAGACCUACAAGUCAAACAGGGGCGAAAGCCGGCCUUAGUGAUCCGACGGUUCCGUGUGGAAGGGCCGUCGCUCAACGAAUAAAAGUUACUCUAGGGAUAACAGGCUGAUCUUCUCCAAGAGUUCACAUCGACGAGAAGGUUUGGCACCUCGAUGUCGGCUCAUCACAUCCUGGGGCUGUAGUAGGUCCCAAGGGUUGGGCUGUUCGCCCAUUAAAGUGGUACGUGAGCUGGGUUCAAAACGUCGUAAGACAGUUUGGUCCAUAUCCGGUGUUAUCGUUAGAGCAUUGAGAGGACCCAUCCCUAGUACGAGAGGAUUGGGAUGGUCGUGCCUAUGGUGUAUCAGUUCUCUCUCCAGAGGGAAACGCUGAGUAGCUACGCACGGUUUAGAUAACCGCUGAAAGCAUCUAAGUGGGAAGCUUUCCUCAAGAUGAGUGCUCUCUAAGGCCUCAGCUAGACAAGCUGUUUGAUAGGUAUCCGGUGAAAGAUUCGUGAGAAUUUCAGCCAAGAUAUACUAAAGGCUAUUUGAUUUUGAC
rnacentral:rRNA from 1 species